UAAAACAUGUAGAUGAGGAAAGUAAGCAAGAGCGGCGAUUUCCAGAGACAGCCGGUUGGUGGGAAAGGCUGAAUGGUCACCUUGCUGAAAUGCACCUCGGAGUCUUUUGCUGAAAGGAACAUCAAAGUAGGCAAAAGCGGUGAAGAGCCGUUAUUAACGAAUGAGUGGGGUAUAGAAAGACGUGCCUCAACAGAGUGGAACCACGUGGAAUGCGUCUCUGUG
rnacentral:ncRNA from 1 species